rnacentral:lncRNA from 1 species
GUAAGUGGGGAAAAGGGAAUAGAAAGUGGGCUGGAGCACAACUACUGAAGCAGGCCCAAAAUAAAGUCUGUUUUCUUAAUAAUCCAUGUGUUCAGAAAAUACAUGUUACACACAGGUUUUUCUCAUUCAACCGGACCCGAGUCAUAACCCGAUGGAAACCCAACGGGAAACAGCAAACCGAAUGCCCUGUCUUGCGGUCGUUUCUAGUGCGCGCUUCUCCACUGUUACAACAGUUCCCGAAUAUGUAUUUCUCUCUGCGAGGCAUUUCGGUGAGUGCGGCGUACCUAAUGCAAACUCCUACUUUGAUUAGGUCGUCGCCGCUACAAUUUUCUCAAGUCCAUCCACGGUCCUCGCGUCAAGCCCUUGUGGUGUGCGUUCUAAUUUGGGUUGCAAAGGAGAAGGAAGAGAGUUGUAG